rnacentral:tRNA from 1 species
GACGGAAUAAUUCAAGCGGUUAGAAUAUUAGAAUCAUAAUCUAAAAGUUAUUGGUUCAAAUCCAAUUUCCGUUA